CAAUGAAAUGUGAUCUCUUGUGACCACCCAAAGCUUGUCCUGAUUUAAACACCCUGAAGCAUAUCGGACACUCGUGAACUUUGCUACUUUUGUUUGCACCACUUGCUUUCUUAAGCAUCUUGCAAUCACCGGACCUAUGAAUCUUCAUGUUUCUGUCUGCACAAGAAUCACUUUCAUAAGAAGAAGGCAAGACCCUUUUGCUUUUGCGCAGCUGAUACUUUGAUCCUCCCUCCUUGACCCCAAGCUCAUCACCAUUCUUGAAACUGUUGAGUUCAGUGUUC